GACGGAGGGCGCAAGCGUUGUUCGGAAUUACUGGGCGUAAAGCGCGCGCAGGCGGGGCGGGAAGUCGGAGGUGAAAGUCCGGGGCUCAACCCCGGGACGCCCUCCGAAACUCCCGCUCUGGGGACCGGUAGAGGCCGGUGGAAUUCCCGGAGUAGCGGUGGAAUGCGUAGAGAUCGGGAAGAACACCCGUGGCGAAGGCGACCGGCUGGGCCGGAUCCGACGCUGAGGCGCGAAAGCGUGGGGAGCAAACAGG
rnacentral:misc_RNA from 1 species